GACGAACGCUGGCGGCGUGCUUAACACAUGCAAGUCGAACGGAAAGGCCCUUCGGGGUACUCGAGUGGCGAACGGGUGAGUAACACGUGGGUGAUCUGCCCUGCACUUUGGGAUAAGCCUGGGAAACUGGGUCUAAUACCGAAUAGGACCACGCGCUUCAUGGUGUGUGGUGGAAAGCUUUUGCGGUGUGGGAUGGGCCCGCGGCCUAUCAGCUUGUUGGUGGGGUAAUGGCCUACCAAGGCGACGACGGGUAGCCGGCCUGAGAGGGUGACCGGCCACACUGGGACUGAGAUACGGCCCAGACUCCUACGGGAGGCAGCAGUGGGGAAUAUUGCACAAUGGGCGCAAGCCUGAUGCAGCGACGCCGCGUGAGGGAUGACGGCCUUCGGGUUGUAAACCUCUUUCCAUAGGGACGAAGCGCAAGUGACGGUACCUAUAGAAGAAGCACCGGCCAACUACGUG
rnacentral:rRNA from 1 species